rnacentral:lncRNA from 9 species
AUCUUGCCCUGACGAUUCAGACACACACAGACCCGCAACCCCUCAACCCCCAACCUGAAUAUUUCUCAGAAGCCUUAGUAACUCAGGUUUGGUUGCUUCCACAGCUCCCCGAGGCUCAGGCUUGCAAGGUAUCUUUGGAUGCUGUCUCACUGCCCUCACUUCUUCACUGGAAUGCUGUUCCUAAUAUACAUAUAACUAAGCUCUGAAAGAGCCAAGAGUUCCCACCGUGGCACAGUGGGUUAAUGAUCUGGCUUGUCUCUGCAGAGGCAUUGGUUCGAUCCCUGGCCUGGGAACCUCCAUAUGCUGGGGGGCAGCUGAAAAAAAAAAAUAAAUAAAAGGGCCAAAAUGGUGCUCUUGUCUGCAGUGCUCAUGUCUUAGAUUAGAUGUGCACUUAGCAGAAAGCGGAAGGGAAAAUUUCUCCUCAUGCGGCUUAGCCAUAACCUCAGAGACCUUCCUAACUCUCCUCCACUGAUUCUGCUUUUGGCCUCCAGCGUUUCAGUUUUCCCUCAAAGCCCUUCUCUGCAGGCAAAUCAGCCAGACAUCUCUGGGUCACCAGCCUCUCCAGUUUCUCCAGCAGGCCCACACUCGGCUUAGGACCACCCAGUGGCCCUCAGUCUCUCCAGCCAGACACCUGCCUCAUAACCUGGGGGACUAUGGAGUUUAUUGUCUACACCAGGACACUUGUGAGAGUGUGAAAAUGCUAAACCAGAUGGUACUUCAAGACAACAGGCGUAAACUAGGAAGUAUGGCCACCCUCCUGUGACUAUGAUACAAUGUGAUAAACGCAAUAAUAAAAGUUUAAACACUUUGCAGGGGAAACAUUUUGAAUGUAAUGCACCAAUGCGUCAAAAUUUGUUUCCAAUGAAAAACAUCUCUAAAUGAUUUGCCAAUCGGCCCCCAUGAUAAAAACCAUACCGCUAAGCUGGGGGUAUUUGCACCAGGCUGCACAGCUGAGCUCUGGCUACAGAAGGAGAUAAUCAUUCACCUUGUUGGAAAUGUAUUUUGUAACUUAGAAUCCCUGUAGAGGAGCUCACUCCAUAGUUUGGUCAAAACCAUAAGGAACAGAGUCUCAAGAACUCUCUGGAAAGAUUAAUAAUAUUUAAUUUUGAAAUGAUAAUAAAAUCAAAAUUGCAGAGAACGUUUACAUUAUGUAUUUAAUCUUCCCAAGUACAUGCUGAGAAGAGAAAUGUGAGUUUAUUUUUAGGUCACAGACUUGUAAGUCCUGGAUUCCUGGCUAGAGUGAUGUUUUGUGGAUCUGUAUCUAUCUAAAUAUAUCCAUCCAUCCCAGAGCAAGUCUGAAUAAAAGUACUUCAAAGUAAAGGAAGAAGUGCAAAUGCUGUGAGGCAAUGCUAAGGUUGGGCCAUGUACAGUAGAAUGGAAGCUUCCAGAAGGAAGAGGUCAUUGUAUUCACUUUUCUCUUUCAAGCACCUACCUAAAAAAGUCCCUGAAACAGGAGUUCCCAUCAUGGCACAGUGGUUAACAAAUCCAACUAAGAACCAUGAGGUUGCAUGUUCGAUCCCUGGCCUUGCUCAUGAGUUAACGAUCCAGCGUUGCUGCCGUGAGCUGUGGUGUAGGGUGCAGACGCGGCUCGGAUCCCACGUUGCUGUGGCUCUGGCGUAGGCUGGUGGCUACAGCUCCAAUUUGACCCCUAGUCUGGGAACCUCCAUAUGCCAUGGGAGUGGCCCAAGAAAUAGCAAAAAGACAAAAAAAAAAAAAAAAAAAAAAA